CCCCUCUCAGAAUCGCACCCGGCGAGUUUCCAGUACUCUACCAGCCUAGGCUAUAGGAGGGAAAGCCAAGCAGAGGCCUAUCCAUUCCAUUCCUAGCUUGGGCAGUGGCUAGCGAGUGGAAGGCAAUCUGCUCCAAGU